AUUGAACGCUGGCGGCAUGCCUUACACAUGCAAGUCGAACGGCAGCACGGGUGCUUGCACCUGGUGGCGAGUGGCGAAGGGGUGAGUAGUACAUCGGAACAUGUCCUGUCGUGGGGGGUAGCCCGGCGAAAGCCGGAUUAAUACCGCAUACGAUCUACGCAUGAAAGCGUGGGACCUCCGGGCCUCGCGCUAUAGGGUUGGCCGAUGGCUGAUUAGCUAGGUGGUGGGGUAAAGGCCUACCAAGGCGACGAUCAGUAGCUGGUCUGAGAGGACGACCAGCCACACUGGGACUGAGACACGGCCCAGACUCCUACGGGAGGCAGCAGUGGGGAAUUUUGGACAAUGGGCGAAAGCCUGAUCCAGCAAUGCCGCGUGUGUGAAGAAGGCCUUCGGGUUGUAAAGCACUUUUGUCCGGAAAGAAAUCCUUGGCCCUAAUACGGUCGGGGGAUGACGGUACCGGAAGAAUAAGCACCGGCUAACUACGUG
rnacentral:rRNA from 1 species